AGAGUUUGAUCAUGGCUCAGGAUGAACGCUAGCGGCAGGCCUAAUACAUGCAAGUCGAACGGCAAGAGUUCUAGCAAUAGAAUUCCUAGAGUGGCGAACGGGUGCGUAACGCGUAUGCAACCUACCCUAUACAGGGGGAUAGCCCGGAGAAAUCUGGAUUAAUACCCCAUAGUACUAUGAUGAGGCAUUUUGUUAUAGUUAAAGAUUCAUCGGUAUAGGAUGGGCAUGCGUCUGAUUAGCUAGUUGGGGGUGUAACGGACCACCAAGGCGACGAUCAGUAGGGGUUCUGAGAGGAAGGUCCCCCACACUGGCACUGAGAUACGGGCCAGACUCCUACGGGAGGCAGCAGUAGGGAAUAUUGGGCAAUGGACGAGAGUCUGACCCAGCCAUGCCGCGUGCAGGAAGACGGCGUUCUGCGUUGUAAACUGCUUUUAUCUGGGAAGAAAAAGUCCAUGCGUGGAAAAUUGCCGGUACCAGAUGAAUAAGCACCGGCUAACUCCGUGCCAGCAGCCGCGGUAAUACGGAGGGUGCAAGCGUUGUCCGGAUUUAUUGGGUUUAAAGGGUGCGUAGGCGGCUGUUUAAGUCAGCGGUGAAAGUUUUGGGCUCAACCCAGAAAUUGCCAUUGAUACUGGACAGCUUGAGUAUUGGAGGGGUACAUGGAAUUGAUGGUGUAGCGGUGAAAUGCAUAGAUACCAUCAGGAACACCGAUAGCGAAGGCAUUGUACUGGCCAAUAACUGACGCUGAUGCACGAAAGCAUGGGUAGCGAACAGGAUUAGAUACCCUGGUAGUCCAUGCCGUAAACGAUGAUUACUCGCUGUUAUGCCCUUGUGGUGUAGCGGCCAAGCGAAAGCGUUAAGUAUCCCCCUGG
rnacentral:rRNA from 1 species